UCUGCCAAGUGCCAAAACAAACUACAAAGUCUUGUUUACUUACUUAAAUUUAAUAUUAUUCUUAAUGACGAUCAAAAGUAACAAGAAUUAAAUGUAAAAUAAUAUAAACUGUUGAAUUACUAAAAAUAUGUGUGAAGAUAUUGUUGACUAUUAUGAAAUCUUAGAAUGUGACAGGGCCGCUAGUUACGAUGAGCUCAAAAAGAAUUAUCAGAGACUAGCUUUGCUUUUGCAUCCUGAUAGAAAUGAAAACAAGCAAAACGACGAAAAGUUUUUACUACUGCAGAAAGCCUGGUCAGUUCUCAGAGAUCCUGAAAGUAGAAAGCAGUUCGAUGCAUUAUUAGUAUGCCACGACCAUUCUAACCUCUUACUGUUCGAAACUUUAUCGUUAUCAGAGAUGACUUUUGACGAAACUGAAUGUGGAUAUUCAUACCCCUGUCGCUGUAGUGGCUUGUACUUUUUAGAAAUGAGUGAUGCUAAUCCACCAUCUGUUGUUGUUGAUUGCAAUGAGUGUUCAUUUUCUAUCCAAGUGAAUAUACCUCAACUAUGACAAAAAGUUCAUAAUAUUUGAUAAGUUUUUCAACACAUGCAUCCUGAUAGUCAUGGAUCCAUCUCACUGCAUUGAAAUGACAUACAGCUCUCAUAUCUUCUGGCAAGUCCUCUGGCUCAGGAAAUUCGAAGUUGUCGAUUAUUGGGACGAUAUUACAUUGCGACUGCAAGGCGGCGACGAUUUCCUGUAAGUAAUUUUUGUAAACAUUAUUUUGGUACUGCAUAGUUCUAAAUAAAAAUUUACGUUUGUUUUAUUAAAUUCACUUUUGUAGUGUU